UCGGGAAUUUUGGGCAAUGGGCGAAAGCCUGACCCAGCAACGCCGCGUGAAGGAUGAAGCUUUUCGGAGUGUAAACUUCACAAGAAUGGGAAGAAUAAGUGUGGGAUAAUACCCUUCACGAUGACGGUACCAUUUGUAAGCUCCGGCUAACUCCGUGCCAGCAGCCGCGGUAAUACGGGGGGAGCAAGCGUUGUUCGGAUUUACUGGGCGUAAAGGGCGCGUAGGCGGCGCGACAAGUCACUUGUGAAAUCUCUGGGCUCAACCCAGAACGGUCAAGUGAUACUGUCGUGCUAGAGUGCGGAAGGGGCAACUGGAAUUCUUGGUGUAGCGGUGAAAUGCGUAGAUAUCAAGAGGAACACCUGCGGCGAAGGCGGGUUGCUGGGCCGACACUGACGCUGAGGCGCGAAAGCCAGGGGAGCGAACGG
rnacentral:rRNA from 1 species